ensembl:lncRNA LINC02411 long intergenic non-protein coding RNA 2411
GGGAACACAGUGGGUAAGAGAAGAAAACAUGGAGAAUUAUUUUACAGCUGUGAUGUUGUCAAUUGUACAAUAUCUACUCCAAUUUCCUCCCAUCUUUGAGAUGACUGAUAAGAAUGCCUUAUGUGUCACACAGGAUCAUAACACAAACUUUCUUCUCUUUCCUGAUGCCCCUCUCAAAUUUACUCAGUAGGGGGAACUUCACCUUCUCCUAUCUCCUGGGAAAUAACCACUAAAGUCUUGAAAUGUCUUGAGUGAUUGGAGGACCUUUAUUUUUCACGCCUGAUGCCUUAUGCUGAUGAGAUGACUCAGCAGGGGAUGGCCAGGCCAGAAAGACCAAAACUGUAUCCUGAGGUUUGAGUUUCUGAGCCAGGUGAUGUCAUCCUCCAGCUUGGCCGGCCUCUUUCUGGGAGCCUCUGGUGUGAAAGAGAGCAGGAGUUUGCCUAAAUCUUCAAAGAUAUGUGAGGCUUGCCUAGAACAUCAUCAUCAGGAAUGCUGGUCCUUCAAUUUGUUUUUUGAAUUGAAGUGUAGUUUACAGUGAUCAAGUUGAAAAUAAGGCUCUGCAUGAAAGCUAACUAUUAAAAGGGUGUGGGCACAGGAGCAACCAACACAGACCCCACAGAAUCCCAAACCUAUGCUAAGAGGGAGCACUUCCAUCCCUCCAAACCUGUGCUAAGAGGGACACCUCCAUCCUUCUAAGCCUGUGCUAAGAGGGAACACCUCCAUCCUUCCAAACCUGUGAUAGGAGGGAGCAUCUCCAUCCUUCUGAACCUGUGCUAAGAGGAAACACCUCCAUCCUUCCAAACCUGUGAUAGGAGGGAGCACCUCCAUCCUUCCGAACCUGUGCUAAGAGGGACACCUCCAUCCUUCCAAGCCUGUGCUAAGAGGGAGCACCUCCAUCCUUCCAAACCUGUGAUAGGAGGGAGCACCUCCAUCCUUCCAAGCCUGUGCUAAGAGGGAGCACCUCCAUCCUUCCAAACCUGUGAUAGGAGGGAGCACCUCCAUCCUUCCGAACCUGUGCUAAGAGGGACACCUCCAUCCUUCCAAGCCUGUGCUAAGAAGGAGCACCUCCAUCCUUCCAUCUGGCAACCCCACAUCUUUCUGUGCAGCAUUGGCUCAUGGAGUUUUGCACAAUCUGUUGCCUUAAUGCAGCUGUGAGGUGGUAAACCCCAUGCCAUUGCACAGCUGUGCUGGUGGAGUCUUCAACAACAGAGGGAUGAAACGAGAGUGCUGAGUGAUGGGUGGAGUGUGCUCACAGAAGCCAGCUGUGCUUGCCCCACUCCCACCCAAAAUGUUUACCCACGUGGGAAAUGCCUGCCCUGCAUAGGAGUACCCAAGGAACCCAGGAUAUAAAGAAACUUCUAAAAUGGAUCUGAAAGGGGGAAGAGCCCUCCCCUGUAAGGAAGCGAGAGAGUUGUAGGAAGUAAUGUCGAUAGGGAAGAAAGGGCUCGUAAGUAUGGGAGAGCAUUUUGCCUCCUAUUCUAUCGACUCUUUGAAGCAUGCAAGCACGCUGCUCCACAGGCUUAGCUGCACAGAGACGCACUACUCCAUUUACUCAUGGGCUGCCCGUGGGGCUUGGCGAAAGAGCAGGCUUGGCUUAGGGGAACUACUGAGACACAUCCAGGUAUUCAAACCGUGGGUUGCCAAGACUUCUCUUUUCAUCCUGAGAGUAUGGAAUAACAUUUGCUAAAAUGUCAAAGGUGAUGCUGGCAGUUUUGGGAGACGCAGAGAUGGCUGAGAGUCUGCGGGGGCUUGGCAAGUGCACGCACCAGUCUCCCAGCUGACACAUCUACAGAAACCUUCAGGGAGCAAAACAGAAUCCAGGAUUUAUUAAAAAUCAUCAACUUCAAAUUAUUUGGAUGGAAACAUUGCCAAAUCAUAGAGAUGUUUGCUACCACCCGCACACCAAGCAGCUGGGUAACUAGAAGUGCAGGAUCAGCUUAUUCACCUCCGAAAGCCUGCAUGCAACCACUGAGGCCGCCUCUAUUUUUUACAUAGUUCUACUUGGUGUAUGUAACCCCACAGAGAAACCUGGAAGAAUGCAUGAAACCUAGUAAGGCAACCAGCACAUGCAACAGAAUGAACCGUUUCUUUCCAUCUGAAUGCCUAAAUGUGGACUCUGAUCCUUUCUACCAAGUCCUAAGUUUGGGAAAAGAGGACAAGGACAGGGGCUCUGUCCCAUAUCAUAAUGUGCUUGUGAAUGGCUAAAAUUACAAUGCUGAGAUAAGUGUGUGUAAUAAAAUAAUUGCACCCCGA